CUUUCUCCUUCUUUUUAGGUUGGGGAAGGCAGUAAACAAUGGCGGAUAAGGACGAUCGUAUUUGGUUUAUUUACACUCGAGGUUAAAAGUGAAACUGUCAAACACCAAACUACAGCGUGCAACUUGCUGGCACAAAAAGGAAAAGUAAAUUGUACGGGAAUCAUUUAUCACAUGGCCAGCGAAGAGGUUUUUGCAUAAACAUAAUAACAAUAAGGAGAAUGGUCAGAUAUGUUUUGAACUAUAUGUUUUGGAUCAAUGUCAUUUAUUUACAUGUUGGACCAAUAUAUUAUUUCAUUAAUGUUUUUUGUUUACAAAUGUCAUUUGAGUAAAUAAAGGAACAUAUGUC
rnacentral:lncRNA from 1 species